GGUCCUGGGUCACUUUCUCUUCUCAUCUUAACCGUCAGCUGCUAAGUCACCACGUGCUCUAACGUUGUUACAGCCCUUUACCUUUUUCCCAAAAGGAUUCUUACUGUGCAGUGUCUUCAGAUGACUCUCAGGGAUAUCCUGGGAGAACCCUAAAACAACACAGGCUAUUGAUCUUGGUCAUCCUCCAGAACGUGAUGUGAGGGCCAGGCCUCCAGCAAGAAGAAGAGACGCCUAUCCACAGCAAACCCACUAUUGGAUCGCAGGCUACUGAGGUCCUCAGAGAAGACCUCCAUCCAGCAGGAGUUGACUCUGAAGACAGCUGAUCUCUGGGUCUCCUGUGCAGGGAGACAGUGCUCUCGACUGGCACACAUCAGGCCGCCAGUCACAGUCGGCCAACUCCUCACCAUCUCUUCUGCUUCGGCUACUCCAGUGACUGCCAGGCAAUCUGCAUCGUCACAGCUAGCAGGGACCCGGUUGAGUACCUGAUGCAGCAGCUCUCAAAGCAUAUCCCUGGACCAGCAGCUUCAGUCAUGUCUGAGAACUUGCUGGAAAGAUGGCACCUUUGGGUUUCCUGAAUCAGGAACUGUGCAAUGGGACCAACGGGUUCUGUAACCAGCCUUCCAGGGGGGUCGCAUUUGUGCUGAACUCGGAGAACCACUCACGUGCUUCAAUGGUCCCAUUUUACAGAUGAGAAGAACGAGGGUUGGGAGAAGUCUAUGCUUCCAGUCAAGGCCCAAAUCGAGUCUCUUUCUCCCAUUUGUAAGCACAAGGUCAGCACAGCAGCUGCCUCAUGGUGCGCUCAGCCAUCAGUGCGGCUCUGCCGACUAAUGGGAUGAACGGAAGCUCUGAAAUUCGA